UACAGAGGUCCCGAGCGUUGUUCGGAUUCACUGGGCGUAAAGGGUGCGUAGGUGGCAUGUUAAGUUUGAUGUGAAAGCUCAGGGCUUAACCCUGAAAUGGCAUUGAAUACUAGCGUGCUGGAGGUUUGGAGGGGGGGACUGGAAUUCUUGGUGUAGCAGUGAAAUGCGUAGAUAUCAAGAGGAACACCAGUGGCGAAGGCGAGUCCCUGGACAACACCUGACACUGAGGCACGAAAGCUAGGGGAGCAAACAGG
rnacentral:rRNA from 1 species